rnacentral:rRNA from 2 species
CAACGGAUCUCUUGGCUCUCGCAUCGAUGAAGAACGCAGCGAAAUGCGAUACGUAAUGUGAAUUGCAGAAUUCAGUGAAUCAUCGAAUCUUUGAACGCACCUUGCGCCCCUUGGCAUUCCGAGGGGCACACCCGUUUGAGUGUCG